rnacentral:lncRNA from 1 species
UUUGUGUUGCUUUUUAAAGUUGUUGGAAUCUAGCCAUAUGGUUUUCCGCAGAGAGCAUCCGUGGUUUCUUGUAUGUGUAUUACAUUCUUUUGCAAACUAUGUUUUAUAAGGGAUUAGAUUUUAUAAAAAAUUGGCAGAGGUGGACUCAAAGAGAAUAAAUGAUAUACUUCCAUCACUGCAAUAUCCAUGUGUAUGAGUGAUUGAGGUAUUCUGAGCAACUGUUCUUUGUAGUAGUAAGCCACUAGUGGCAUUGUGUGUCUAUGUAUAUUUUACCAAUCUCAUUGGGGCAAUUAAGAUCUUUAUUAUGGAAUAUAAUGUCAAAUGAAAGAGAAAUAUAUAUUUCAAACAAAAAGCAUGAAAGAGACAUGUCGAGAGAUUUUCCUUGAUAACAACAAUAUCCUUUUCUUUGUCUAGCUAGAUCCCUAAUGUGAUAUUGUGUAUCCUUAGAAGCCAUUUUUUCUCAUAUGUUAGAAGGCCAUGACAUAAACAAGUAUGCUACAGGGACAAUCUAGUGUACUUUGAUUCAUAUACUCAAAUGUUUGGAGGAAGCAACACAGAGAAGAGUUGUAUCACUGAAGAAUUGCAUGUCUACCAUGAUUAGUAGUUCAGACAUUUACCGCAUGAAUCAAAAUCUAGUGAUCUGAUUCACUGUUGCACAUUGAUUAGCUCAAAGAUAAUACAUCAAUUAGCAGAAAUAUAGAAUCAUGCUAAAGCUAUGGCAGUACUUCUAGUUUCCAUUCACAACAUGUUGCAUUAUCAAAUGUAUAACUGCAAAGUAAAAUAUUUCACUAACAAAUAGCUAAUUGUGAUUUCGACUAUAUAUUUCGGGGAAACAAUCAUAGACUUGCACUUGGGAAUUUCCAUGAGGAUCUGAUUCGAGUUGGAAGUUUUGGUCAUUGAAGCAAGUAGUUUCUUGUCACUCUACAUCAAAUACAAGGGACCACUGCCAAUGGGAUGGUGGGGUCCUUUUCAUGAGCGAAGUUUGGAAUCAGGGAAAAUGUGUAGGAGAAUUGAAUGAUGAGAGCAAGCGUGCACAGAAACUAUUGGCUUUUCGAAUGACAGUUGGCCUUUCAAAAACUGAAAACUGUCAUUUUCCUUUUUCAGUGGAGCAUAAAAUCGUUUGCCUUAUAUAUUUACAGUGCAUAAUAUUUAUCUAGAAUGCCUAAAUUUUUACAUUUUCCUUUUAAUAAUCAUGACUUAAGAACUGAAGUUGGAGUUUCUAAAGGUGAAAUCUUGGUAUUCUGUUUUAAUUUCACAAAUUUCAAUCUUAGACAAAAGUUAUCAUUGAUGAAAAGGACAAUAAAAUCUUGAUGUAAGUAAUGAGGUUAGUUAGCCUUAUGCUUUCUGUUGGGAGGUUUGCGCCCCAUCUGCUUGUAGCAAAGGUAGGGCACUCUGGGGACACUGUUGUGUCUGCAUGGGCUGAUACCUUGGUAUGUGGAUAUAUGGUCACAUCAUUUGCAUUUUACUUGUCCCAGGCUGCAAAAACAUGGUCACACAAAUGAAGUUAGGAUACCCCUAUCUCCUUUUCUUUGCUUUGGUGCGUAUGGAUUCCCGUUUGGGCUUGUGUUUCAACUAAUAUGUAAUUUUGUUUCUAGGGAUGUGACUCAAGCUAGUGACAUUGGCUUGUGUUAAGGGAUAUGCAGUAGCGAUGGUGAUCUUCCCCUAAGCUCUUCAAUAGAUGUGCUCCUCCAAAUUAUCCAUUCUAGUGUAUCUUGCACGAGAUGCUCAUGAAUUUUGCAAGAUGAUGAAUUGGAGCUUUAUAUGACAAUAUGGAUUAAAUGGAUAGGUUCAUAAUGCAUUUGGGUUAUUAAUCCGACCCCCUUUAUGUUGUUAAUGCAUAGUUGUCCCCUCCACCAAGAGACAUGUCGAUUGGAUCAGUUAUCAAUGUUUCUUGCUAAUUUUUCAGUAAGGUCUACUUUGGAAGUGCGUGAAAAUUUUGUCACUAUAUUUCUACUGCUCAUUACCAUAUAAUUAGUUGGUUGUGGAUUGGCCUUCUCAUUAUGUGCCAGCUUAGUACUGGUAGAUUCUACUUUGUGUGGCACUCUCAAUACAAACUGGUUGAGUCCCAUGUUCUUGUUUCCUUGUGAUUUCUUACUCAUUCGUAUUCUGGUUUUCUCCCUCCCUAUUGCUUUGCAUCUAUUUUCUACAUCGAUUGAAUUCUAAAAACAUUUAUAGGGUUAAAUCUACUUUGUAUAAUUUCCUAUGUUGAAUGUAGUAUUAAAUUGGUUUAAUAGUUUUCUAUGUUGUAAAUCGAGUUCUAAGGCAAUGCAAAAGCUUUAUUUCGUGAUUUUUCUAUGUUGUAAAUCUAGAUUCAGGGUUAACUGAUUGUUUUGAGUGCUGGACAUCAAGUUCCCUGACAAUCUAUCCGUAUUAGAGUGCUUGUUGGUUGUGUGCAUG